rnacentral:rRNA from 1 species
GAUGAACGCUGGCGGCGUGCCUAAUACAUGCAAGUCGAGCGAACAGACGAGGAGCUUGCUCCUCUGACGUUAGCGGCGGACGGGGGAGUAACACGUGGAUAACCUACCUAUAAGACUGGGAUAACUUCGGGAAACCGGAGCUAAUACCGGAUAAUAUAUUGAACCGCAUGGUUCAAUAGUGAAAGACGGUUUUGCUGUCACUUAUAGAUGGAUCCGCGCCGCAUUAGCUAGUUGGUAAGGUAACGGCUUACCAAGGCAACGAUGCGUAGCCGACCUGAGAGGGUGAACGGCCACACUGGAACUGAGACACGGUCCAGACUCCGACGGGAGGCAGCAGUAGGGAAUCUUCCGCAAUGGGCGAAAGCCUGACGGAGCAACGCCACGUGAGUGAUGAAGGUCUUCGGAUCGUAAAACUCUGUUAUUAGGGAAGAACAAAUGUGUAAGUAACUAUGCACGUCUUGACGGUACCUAAUCAGAAAGCCACGGCUAACUACGUG